UAGAGUAUGAUAGAGGAAAGCAGAAUUUCUAGUGUAGAGGUGAAAUUCGUAGAUAUUAGAAAGAAUACCAAUUGCGAAGGCAGCUUUCUGGAUCAUUACUGACACUGAGGAACGAAAGCAUGGGUAGCGAAGAGGAUUAGAUACCCUCGUAGUCCAUGCCGUAAACGAUGUGUGUUAGACGUUGGAAAUUUAUUUUCAGUGUCGCAGCGAAAGCGAUAAACACACCGCCUGGGGAGUACGACCGCAAGGUUAAAACUCAAAUGAAUUGACGGGGACCCGCACAAGUAGUGGAGCAUGUGGUUUAAUUCG
rnacentral:rRNA from 1 species